UGAAUACGAGACGCUAAGGCGUCGAAGUAGUGUAUGUCAUACUUCCAAGAAAAGCUUGCACUGUCAUAGAUAAAAAAUGCCUGUACCAUAACCGACACAGGUGGGUAGGUAGAGUAUACUAAGGGGCGCGAGAUAACUCUCUCUAAGGAACUCGGCAAAAUAACUCCGUAACUUCGGGAGAAGGAGUGCCUUAUUCGUAAGGUUGCAAUAACAAGAUCCAAGCAACUGUUUAUCAAAAACACAGGUCUCCGCUAAGUCGUAAGACGAUGUAUGGGGGCUGACGCCUGCCCAGUGCCAGAAGGUUAAAGAAGUUGGUUAGCAAUUGCGAAGCUAGUAACAGAAGCCCUGGUGAACGGCGGCCGUAACUAUAACGGUCCUAAGGUAGCGAAAUUCCUUGUCGGGUAAGUUCCGACCCGCACGAAAGGCGUAAUGAUUUGGAUACUGUCUCGGAGAGGGGCUCGGUGAAAUAGACUUGUCUGUGAAGAUGCGGACUACCUGCACCAGGACAGAAAGACCCUAUGAAGCUUUACUGUAACCUGAAAUUGAAAUUGGACUUUAUUCGCGCAGUAUAGGUGGGAGGCGUUGAUUAUAAUCUUGCGGGAUUAUUGGAGCCAUCAGUGAGAUACCACUCUUGUAAUGUUAGAUUUCUAACUUUGAAUCAUUAUCUGGUCAAAGAACAGUUUCAGGCGGGCAGUUUGACUGGGGCGGUCGCCUCCUAAAUGGUAACGGAGGCGUACAAAGGUUUCCUCUGAACGGUUAGAAAUCGUAUCUAGAGUGUAAAGGCAUAAGGAAGCUUGACUGUGAGACCUACAAGUCGAGCAGGGACGAAAGUCGGUCUUAGUGAUCUGACGGUACUGAGUGGAAAGGCCGUCACUCAACGGAUAAAAGUUACUCUAAGGAUAACAGGCUGAUCUCCCCCAAGAGUUCACAUCGACGGGGAGGUUUGGCACCUUGAUGUCGGCUCAUCGCAUCCUGGGGCGGUAGUACGUCCCAAGGGUUGGGCUGUUCGCCCAUGAAAGCGGUACGCGAGCUGGGUUCAGAACGUCGUGAGACAGUUCGGUCCAUAUCCGGUGUAGGCGUUAGAAUAUUGAGAGGAGCCUUCCUUAGUACGAGAGGACCGAGAAGGACAUACCUCUGGUGUACCAGUUAUCGUGCCAACGGUAAACGCUGGGUAGCUAUGUAUGGAGUGGAUAACCGCUGAAAGCAUCUAAGUGGGAAGCCCACCUCAAGAUAAGUAUUCUCAUCA
rnacentral:rRNA from 1 species